rnacentral:lncRNA from 1 species
AUGUCAGAGGCAGCCGUAGACACCAGCUCCGAAAUCACCACCAAGGACUUACGGGAGAAGAAGGAAGUUGUGGAAGAGGCGGAAAAUGGAAGAGAAGCCCCUGCUAACGGGAAUGCUCAUGAGGAAAACAGGGACCGGAGGCUGACAAUGAGGUAGAUGAACAAGAGGAAGAAGGUGGGGAGGAAGAGGAGGAGGAAGAAGAAGGUGACGGUGAAGAAGAGGAUGGAGGUGACGACGAGGAAGCUGAGUUGGCUACAGGCAAGCGGGCAGCUGAAGAUGAUGCGGAUGACGAUGUCGAUACCAAGAAGCAGAAGACCCACGAGGAUGAC